AGAGUUUGAUCAUGGCUCAGGAUGAACGCUAGCGGCAGGCUUAAUACAUGCAAGUCGAGGGGCAGCAGGGGUGUAGCAAUACACUCGCUGGCGACCGGCAAACGGGUGCGGAACACGUACGCAACCUACCCAGAACUGGGGGAUAGCCCGGGGAAACCCGGAUUAACACCUCAUAAGAUAGUGGAGUGGCAUCACUCAGCUAUUAAAACUCCGGUGGUUUUGGAUGGGCGUGCGGCUGAUUAGGUAGUUGGCGGGGUAACGGCCCACCAAGCCUGCGAUCAGUAACUGGUGUGAGAGCACGACCAGUCACACGGGCACUGAGACACGGGCCCGACUCCUACGGGGAGGGUUGUAAGGAAUAUUGGUUCAAUGGACGCAAGUCUGAACCAGCCAUGCCGCGUGAAGGAUGAAGGUCCUCUGGAUUGUAAACUUCUUGCGCAGUGGACGAAACCCGGAUAUUCUUAUCCGAUUGACGGUACCCUGGGAAUAAGCACCGGCUAACUCCGUGCCAGCAGCCGCGGUAAUACGGAGGGUGCAAGCGUUAUCCGGAUUCACUGGGUUUAAAGGGUGCGUAGGAGGGCAGGUAAGUCAGUGGUGAAAUCUUCGAGCUUAACUCGGAAACUGCCGUUGAUACUAUCUGUCUUGAAUAUUGUGGAGGUGAGCGGAAUAUGUCAUGUAGCGGUGAAAUGCUUAGAUAUGACAUAGAACACCAAUUGCGAAGGCAGCUCGCUACACAUAUAUUGACUCUGAGGCACGAAAGCGUGGG
rnacentral:rRNA from 1 species